CAUUGGAACUGAGACACGGUCCAAACUCCUACGGGAGGCAGCAGUGAGGAAUAUUGGUCAAUGGGCGAGAGCCUGAACCAGCCAAGUAGCGUGCAGGAAGACGGCCCUAUGGGUUGUAAACUGCUUUUAUACGGGGAUAAAGUGGGCCACGUGUGGCUUAUUGCAGGUACCGUAUGAAUAAGGACCGGCUAAUUCCGUGCCAGCAGCCGCGGUAAUACGGAAGGUCCGGGCGUUAUCCGGAUUUAUUGGGUUUAAAGGGAGUGUAGGCCGUCUGUUAAGCGUGUUGUGAAAUGUCGGGGCUCAACUUGGGCAUUGCAGCGCGAACUGGCAGACUUGAGUGCGCAGGAAGUAGGCGGAAUUCGUCGUGUAGCGGUGAAAUGCUUAGAUAUGACGAAGAACUCCGAUUGCGAAGGCAGCCUGCUGUAGCGUAACUGACGCUGAAGCUCGAAAGCGUGGGUAUCGAACAGGAUUAGAUACCCUGGUAGUCCACGCGGUAAACGAUGGAUGCUCGCUGUUUGCGUCUGACGUAAGCGGCCAAGCGAAAGCGUUAAGCAUCCCACCUGGGGAUGUAC
rnacentral:rRNA from 1 species